CACACACACACACACACACACACACACACACACACACACACACACACACACACACACACACACACACACCUGAAAAGAGGCGGCAGUAACCAAACAGCAGGUUGAAUUAAACCAUUGAGGGUUCAGAUAUAAACUCUCCUGAUGACAUCAUAACACACCAGGUGGUGUACUAAUCAAAUCAAAUCAAACUUUAUUAGUCACAUGCGUCGAAUACAACAAGUAUAGACCUUUACCGUGAAAUGCUUACUGACAAGCCCCUUAACCACCAAUGCAGUUUAAAGAAAGAGUUAAGAAAAUAUUUACCUAAUAAACUAAAGUAACAAUGUGGAGGCUAUAUACAGGGUAUUACGGUACAGAGUCAAUGUGGAGGCUAUAUACAGGGUAUUACGGUAUAGAGUCAAUGUGGAGGCUAUAUACAGGGUAUUACGGUACAGAGUCAAUGUGGAGGCUAUAUACAGGGGGUACUGGUACAGAGUCAAUGUGGAGGCUAUUUACAGGGGGUACCGGUACAGAGUCAAUGUGGAGGCUAUAUACAGGGGGUACCGGUACUGAGUCAAUGUGGAGGCUAUAUACAGGGGGUACCGGUACAGAGUCAAUGUGGAGGCUAUAUACAGGGGGUACCGGUACAGAGUCAAUGUGGAGGCUAUAUACAGGGGGUACCGGUACAGAGUCAAUGUGGAGGCUAUAUACAGGGGGUACCGGUACAGAGUCAAUGUGGAGGCUAUAUACAGGAGGUACCGGUACAGAGUCAAUGUGGAGGCUAUAUACAGGGUAUUACG
rnacentral:lncRNA from 1 species